rnacentral:rRNA from 1 species
GACGAACGCUGGCGGCGUGCUUAACACAUGCAAGUCGAACGGAAAGGCCCUGCUUUUGUGGGGUGCUCGAGUGGCGAACGGGUGAGUAACACGUGAGUAACCUGCCCUUGACUUUGGGAUAACUUCAGGAAACUGGGGCUAAUACCGGAUAGGAGCUCCUGCUGCAUGGUGGGGGUUGGAAAGUUUCGGCGGUUGGGGAUGGACUCGCGGCUUAUCAGCUUGUUGGUGGGGUAGUGGCUUACCAAGGCUUUGACGGGUAGCCGGCCUGAGAGGGUGACCGGCCACAUUGGGACUGAGAUACGGCCCAGAGUCCUACGGGAGGCAGAAGUGGGGAAUAUGGCACAAUGGGCGGAAGCCUGAUGCAGCAACGCCGCGUGCGGGAGGACGGCCUUCGGGUGGUAAACCGCUUUCGCCUGGGACGAAGCGGGAGUGACGGUAAUGGGUAAAGAAGCACCGGCUAACUACGUG